rnacentral:tRNA from 2 species
GGGCCGAUAGCUCAAUUGGCAGAGCAAUUGACUCUUAAUCAAUUGGUUGGAGGUUCGAGUCCUCCUCGGCUCAC